rnacentral:tRNA from 1 species
CUUGGAAAAUCCGUCGACUUUCAAGAUCGUGRGGGUUAAACCCUUAUCCCCA